AUUUAGCUAGAGAAGUAAUGGAAAAUUUCUCUAAAGAAUUCUUUUGCAAAUCAUGUGAUUCUCUAUUUUGCAGGACUCAAUCUCUUACAAAUAAAAUCACAGAACACAUAGGCAUUUGACCAAACUCUGCCUUCUUCUUCAUUACAAAACUAGUUCAAACUUUAAUAACAGUUGAAUAUUUGUUUUUAUGAUUGUUGGUAUGAUUGAAGGAUGAAAUGGACUUACCCAACAUUGUCUAGUGAUUGAAGUUGUGGUUACAACUAUUAAGAUUGAGCAGAGCAUAUAAAGAAAGUGCUUUCAUGCAUACAACUAUUAGAAAAUCCAUUCAAGAAUGCAUGGGCAUAGAAGUUUCAUAGCAUAUUGUGCAAUUCAAAUUUUAACGACCACUAUGAUCAUUAGUGAAUGAUCAUGGAAAACUUUUUCUGCAAUCAAAGGAAUAUAAGUUGACAUCUUAGUUGUACUGGUUUGCUUUUGUUAAUUUUUAGUAGUUUAAAUAAAAUUAGUCUUUAAACAUUAUACAAGGUUAUAGACUACUUCUCAAUAAACUUGGCUACCACAUACAUUUUCUUGUUUAUUGGAUGUUUAUUUCUGAUAUUAAUAUUAUUGCUAAUACCUGUAACUGCUCCUGCAACUACAACUAGUGUUUACAGGAGUGUCCACGAUCAAGAUGAUCUUGCUUGCAGGGAGUUGGCAAAAGGAUCAAGUGGAGGAUGUGAAGGAACUAAGGUCUAAGGCUCUUGUCCCAAAUCAAAAUAUGAAUCUUGUUACUUACCGUCACAGGGUAUAUCAACUACUUUGACUCAUUCUGUAUAAUGUUUUUUUUUUUUUUGCUAAAUUUGGUUGAGAGAGUCAAAGGGAAUCAAUACUAACUAUUUUAUUAUUGAUUUCAUUCCUUGUGUCUC